GUUGGUGUAGCUCAAUGGUAGCGUACAUGCUUUCAAUGUAUGAUGUCCUAGGUUCAAUUAGCAGCUUCCACC